rnacentral:rRNA from 1 species
UUCGGGAACAGGAACACAGGUGGUGCAUGGUUGUCGUCAGCUCGUGUCGUGAGAUGUUGGGUUAAGUCCCGCAACGAGCGCAACCCUUAUUGUUAGUUGGUACCAUUAAGUUGACCACUCUAGCGAGACUGCCCGGGUUAACCGGGAGGAAGGUGGGGAUGACGUCAAAUCAUCAUGCCCCUUAUGUCUAGGGCUACACACGUGCUACAAUGGCAAGUACAAAGAGAAGCAAUACUGUGAAGUGGAGCAAAACUCAAAAACUUGUCUCAGUUCGGAUUGUAGGCUGAAACUCGCCUACAUGAAGCUGGAGUUGCUAGUAAUCGCGAAUCAGAAUGUCGCGGUGAAUACGUUCCCCGGGUCUUGUACAC